GAUGAACGCUGGCGGCGUGCCUAAUGCAUGCAAGUCGAGCGAACGGACGAGAAUCUUGCUUCUCUGAUGUUAGCGGCGGACGGGUGAGUAACACGUGGAUAACCUACCUAUAAGACUGGGAUAACUUCGGGAAACCGGAGCUAAUACCGGAUGAUAUUUUGAACCGCAUGGUUCAAAAGUGAAAGACGGUCUUGCUGUCACUUAUAGAUGGAUCCGCGCUGCAUUAGCUAGUUGGUAAGGUAACGGCUUACCAAGGCAACGAUGCAUAGCCGACCUGAGAGGGUGAUCGGCCACACUGGAACUGAGACACGGUCCAGACUCCUACGGGAGGCAGCAGUAGGGAAUCUUCCGCAAUGGGCGAAAGCCUGACGGAGCAACGCCGCGUGAGUGAUGAAGGUCUUCGGAUCGUAAAACUCUGUUAUUAGGGAAGAACAUAUGUGUAAGUAACUGUGCACAUCUUGACGGUACCUAAUCAGAAAGCCACGGCUAACUACGUG
rnacentral:rRNA from 1 species